UGUUCUUGUUUCAAGGUCCAGAAAGGGAGUUUUCAAACAUGGUUGAUCACUGCCCUUGCCCCUCCUCAACCCUGUAAACAGCAGUUAAUAGAACAACUGUGGGAAAAGAACAGCAGCUUACCAUCGGAGGCUCUGAGGCUGCUUCUCGGGCUGUCCUGGUGGCUGGUCUUGUCAGUAGCUAACCUCUGAGGCCUGUAAAAUGGGAUCUCACAAUGAAAUAAACUUAGAAAUUUUGGUGAAAAUCAAACAGGUUUCUUAUUAGCGUCUUACAACCAUUCAUAUCCUCUUUCUCUGUUUGACCAACAAGUUUGGUGGUAACAGUAUAAACAAUUCCCAGCCCCAAAUCAUUUCAGAAAUGCAAGUCUAAUAGGCCCUAGUAGGGAAAUGCCUUAAUUCAGGCUAAGGAAUUUCUAUACAUUAUUGCUGUCUCAGAAAUGCGGGGUAUGAGCAAAAUGGUAAAAUCCCCAUCCCUGCAGAGAAAGAUGAAAACCAAAAAGUGCUAGAACCCACGUUGUCAGAACUUUGGAAAGACGGGUGCACAGCAGUCCAGCAAAUGAUGACUAGAAAAAGGAACCGAAAUACUAAGAGAGCUUGGUGGCAUUUUUACCUACCUUACCUGCACACAGCAGCUCGGCAGCUUGUAGCCAGCAGCCCAUUGAAAAGGCCAUGUUUGCCUGUCGUGAUCUGUAUUGGGGACCAACACAGUGUUCAUCUCUGGAUUACCUAACCUGGAACUUCUGUGGGAGAAAAGCAACACAUAGUACUAUAGCAAAACAUGACUGCUGAAUCCUGAAGACAGGCUGCCUAAAACCUGGAGUGGUGAAAUCAGGAAGGCUGUGUGAACACAAUGAGAAUUUUCAGAAGUAUAAAUGAGCCACAUAAAAAAGCUGGAACUGGGCUCAGAGGCGUGGCCUAGUGGCUCAAGUCCUUGCCUUGAACGCUCCGGGAUCCCAUAUGGGCACCGGUUCUAAUCUCAGCAGCUCCAUUUCCCAUCCAGCUCCCAUCUGUUGAAAUAAUGCAUUUUUUCUCCCUGAUUCCGCUGACUUGUCUUAAUUUGAUCUUCAAAUGUUAAACCCGUCUUUCUGAUUCCCAGGAUAACCCCUAUAUGAUCAUGUUGUAUUUGUGUGUCUCUUUGGGGCUAUGUGUAUCUUUGUAGAUACUGAUAUGAGAGAAUGUGCAACUCUUGCUGAGGAUUUUUGAAUCGUUGUCAAACUGAAAUGCUGAAUUUAGUUUGUUGUUUCUCCAGAGGCUCAUAUGUUAGGGGUUUGGUCCUUGAAACUUUUGUAUUACUGGUGAAUGAAUUAAGGAUGGUCUUUGUGUAAAGAGUGCUUGAAGGUGAGACCUUGUUUCAAGGCACCAAGCAUUUGGGCCGUCAUCUGCUGGUUUCCUAGGUGCAUUGCAGGAACCUGGACUGGAAGUGGACCCGGACCAGUGCCCGUAUGGGCUGCCAGUAUUGUAGGCGGCAGCCCCAAGAGGUGAGAUGUAAUGGUAGGGGUUUGGGUCACUGGGGAUCCUGGACAGUGACCUGUCUCAUGACUGCUCUCUUCUCUCAUACAUUCCUGCCGUGAUGCCAUCUGCAAUGUUCUGAUGUCACCAGAAGUCCUUCACCUGACACUGAAUCAGUAGAGCUUCUCAACCCUGGAUGUUCAGCCUUCAAAACUCUGCUGCUAAGUACCUACAGCCUCCACGGAAUGGGGUUAGACUCCACGAUACCCGUUGUUGAAGAUACUAAAAACUGCAUUUCAUAUACCUAGCGUCCCGUGGAUGCUCCAGCUUGGCAACGCCACACGGAGCAGAGAACCGACCUUCUCAUCUCGCAACCAUCACACUGCUGGCGUGGAGUCUUGGUGCAUCCAUGUUGCUAGCCACAUUCAGAAGGUUAAGCACUUUCUUACUAAAUUUGCAUAGCUGCUGUGCCUCCAGAAAGCCAAAAAUCCCAGAUCUAGUCACCUGCUUGGUCAUCUUACAGGAUGACGGUGUAUUUCACAGAGUGGAGCUCUGCACUUAGCCUUGUUAGCGGCACUUCAAUCAGUCUGAUGCCUAAGCAGUGUGAAUAUCAUUUCUCCCAACCCCAAUUCCUAUAGCUCUAGCACCACUUAAACCUAAUUUUUCUGUUUUCUUCAUAAAUUCAUGUCUUCUCAUGUUGUAUUUUUUUUCUAGCCAACCAAACUUUCGUCCCAUCUGUGGGAGAUUUCUAAUUUUAGCCUAUGAUUCAUAUCAGGGUAUUUUAAAAAGUUCAUGGGAAGUAGAAUUAAAGUCUAUUUGGGUGUGAAAAAUAUCCAGUUCCCAUGAGCUUUCUGAAGAUCCCUUGUACGCAUGGAUUUAAAUUCUUUUGCACCAAACUUUUAAUUCCAUUUCCCACAAGAUUUUUUGAAAUAAUUUUACGUUUGUUUCCACAAUCAUUUCUUUAAACAUAAUUCAGAGUAAGUAUUCAUUACAGUAUCUUCAAACUCUAUAAAGCAAUUUGAAAGUUCUAGACUAAUCCUUACAAGGACCUGGGGAAUCCUUGGCAGCCCAGCUGCUGCUUCACUCCGAGGGGCCCUCACAGCGGGGCUGGCUCACACUGAAGCCAGGAGGCUGCAACCCUUUUGGGUCCCCGACUUGGGUGGCAUGGAUAAAAUACCAGGCUCCUAGAUUUACUUAUUUAUAUCCUGAUUUCAACGUUUCCAGCUUCUCCUGGCCUCCGACAGUCCGUGCAGCACCCAGGCCGGGCACUUGGUGGAUGUUCUUCACUGACACUGCAGGUAGUAUAAUUCUAACAUUUCUGACAUGUUUCCUUUGUAUAUACACUCAGUAUAUUAUAAAAGGCUGACAAGGUUUUUGUGACUUACUGAACCUGGUGCCUAUUUGGCUUUCUGGUAUAUCUGUAUAAGUAAUGAAUGAUAGUGUUUCUUUGUAUAAGUUUGACAAGAGUUUCCACCUAGCUGGGUGAAUAUUUUCAUGUUGACAUUUAUCUAAGAGACACUAAACCCCCUAAUUAAUGUCUUUGCUUUUAAAAUAUUUCCGUACAUCUGAUUUGACAAGAGGUGUCCUGAAUACACAAACCAGAGGAUAACACC